GGGGAUGACGGGCUUCGAUAAAGAUGUCCCGCGAACUGGCGAACCGAGCGCGACCUCGUUAAACUCGCAAAAAACUAUAACUGCCAACUCUAAAGUUGCAGCUCCGUCCCGCGCUUUCGCUUACGCGUAAAGACCGGACGGGAUUGGCUAGCUUGUGUCUCUUAGGCUAAUACCAAUCUUAUACAAGGAGGCUCGCCCAAAGUUUUGAUUCCGGACUUAAGGCUAAAAAAUGGAAUCGUUUUUGCCUGAUCUAAUCAGACUACGUUCGUAGAAGGUUAGCGUUCUACAUCUUUACACGGCGGUCCAACUCCGCCCAUCUCCACUC
rnacentral:tmRNA from 1 species